UUGCCAGACUCCUACGGGAGGCAGCAGUAGGGAAUUUUGCGCAAUGGGCGAAAGCCUGACGCAGCAACGCCGCGUGAUCGAGACGCCCUUCGGGGUGUAAAGAUCUGUCAGUGGGGACGAAACUUGACGGUACCCACAGAGGAAGCACCGGCUAACUCCGUGCCAGCAGCCGCGGUAAUACGGGGGGUGCAAGCGUUGUCCGGAAUCAUUGGGCGUAAAGAGUUCGUAGGCGGCACGUAAAGUCUGGUGUUAAAGGCAGAGGCUCAACUUCUGUACGGCACUGGAUACUUGCGAGCUAGAAUGCGGUAGAGGUAAAGGGAAUUCCUGGUGUAGCGGUGAAAUGCGUAGAUAUUAGGAGGAACACCAGUGGCGAAGGCGGCUUACUGGACAGUAACUGACGUUGAGGCUCGAAAGCGUGGGGAGCAAACAGGAUUAGAUACCCUUGUAGG
rnacentral:rRNA from 1 species